GAUGAACGCUGGCGGCGUGCCUAAUACAUGCAAGUCGAGCGAACAGACGAGGAGCUUGCUCCUCUGACGUUAGCGGCGGACGGGUGAGUAACACGUGGAUAACCUACCUAUAAGACUGGGAUAACUUCGGGAAACCGGAGCUAACACCGGAUAAUAUAUUGAACCGCAUGGUUCAAUGGUGAAAGACGGUUUUGCUGUCACUUAUAGAUGGAUCCGCGCCGUAUUAGCUAGUUGGUAAGGUAACGGCUUACCAAGGCAACGAGGCGUAGCCGAGCUGAGAGGGUGAUCGGCCACCCGGGAACUUAGACGCGCUCCAUACUCCUGCGGGAGGCAGCAGUAGGGAAUCUUCCGCAGUGGGCGAAAGCAUUGCGGAGCAACGCCGCGUGAGAGGUGAAGGUCUUCGGAUCGUAAAACUCUGUUAUUAGGGAAGAACAAAUGUGUAAGUAACUAUGCACGUCUUGACGGUACCUAAUCAGAAAGCCACGGCUAACUACGUG
rnacentral:rRNA from 1 species